rnacentral:rRNA from 1 species
AACGAACGCUGGCGGCAUGCCUAACACAUGCAAGUCGAACGAAACCUUCGGGUCUAGUGGCGCACGGGUGCGUAACGCGUGGGAACCUGCCCUUAGGUUCGGAAUAACUCCCCGAAAGGGGUGCUAAUACCGGAUAAUGUCUUCGGAUCAAAGAUUUAUCGCCUUUGGAUGGGCCCGCGUUGGAUUAGCUAGUUGGUAGGGUAAAAGCCUACCAAGGCGAGGAUCCAUAGCUGGUCUGAGAGGAUGAUCAGCCACACUGGGACUGAGACACGGCCCAGACUCCUACGGGAGGCAGGAGUGGGGAAUAGUGGACAGUGGGCGAAAGGCUGAUCCAGCAAUGCCGCGUGAGUGAUGAAGGCCUUAGGGUUGUAAAGCUCUUUUAACCGGGAUGAUAAUGACAGUACCGGGAGAAUAAGCUCCGGCUAACUCCGUG